rnacentral:lncRNA from 1 species
GGAGAUGAAACUGAAGUUGACAAUGAUGGGGAAGAUGAAAUUUAUCAUAAGCGACCUGAUAAAGACAAAGCACUAAAGAAAUACAGUCAGUAUUUUUGUCAUUAAAUAUUUGUUAUUAGGAUUUAAUAAUUUGUACUGUUUACUUUUAACUUGCU